CCUACGGGAGGCAGCAGUGAGGAAUAUUGGUCAAUGGGCGCGAGCCUGAACCAGCCAAGUAGCGUGAAGGAUGACUGCCCUAUGGGUUGUAAACUUCUUUUAUACGGGAAUAACGGGUGCCACGCGUGGUGCCGUGCAUGUACCGUACGAAUAAGCAUCGGCUAAUUCCGUGCCAGCAGCCGCGGUAAU
rnacentral:rRNA from 1 species